rnacentral:ncRNA from 1 species
GUCUGCUUAACACAUGCAAGUAUAGGACGGGUGUUUUUGGUGGCGGACGGGUAAGUAUCGCGUAAGAAUUUGUCUUUGAGAGAGCAACAACGGCACGAAAAUAAUUGCUAACAACCUAUACACUGAGGAGAAAAAAGACGAAUCACCCCAAGAGAGGCUCGCAUCUGAUUAGCUAGUUGGUGAGGUGAUAACUUACUGGGACAUGAUUAUAGCAAUUUCAAUCGGUCUGUAAGGAUGAUUGACCAUAUUGGGACUAAGACACGGCCCAGACACCUAUGGGAGGCAGCAAUGAGGAAUUUUCCACAACAAGACGCGGUGGUAGAAAGAC